rnacentral:rRNA from 1 species
UAAGCGCAGCGAUGCGUUGAGC